CAGAGGGUGCAAACGUUGUUCGAAUUUACUGGGCGUAAAGCGCGUGUAGGCGGCUUUGCAAGUCGGAUGUGAAAGCCCACGGCUCAACCGUGGAAGUGCAUCCGAAACUGCAUGGCUUGAGUCUCGGAGAGGAAGGUGGAAUGCUUGGUGUAGAGGUGAAAUUCGUAGAUAUCAAGCAGAACACCUGCGGCGAAGGCGGCCUUCUGGACGAUGACUGACGCUGAGACGCGAAAGCGUGGGGAGCAAACAGGAUUAGAUACCCUGGUAGUCCACGCCGUAAACGAUGAGUGCUAGGUGUCACGGGCUUUGACCCUCGUGGUGCCGUAGCUAACGCAAUAAGCACUCCGCCUGGGGAGUACGGCCGCAAGGCUA
rnacentral:rRNA from 1 species